UCCGGUCAUACCAUAUUGAAACAACGGUUCUCCUGUGAUCAUCGGACUUAAGCAGCAUCGAACCUGGUCAGUACCUAGAUGGGUGACCACUUGGAAAUACCAGGUGCUGUAAG